rnacentral:rRNA from 1 species
GACGAACGCUGGCGGCGUGCCUAAUACAUGCAAGUCGAACGCACAGUUUAUACCGUAGCUUGCUACACCAUAGACUGUGAGUUGCGAACGGGUGAGUAACGCGUAGGUAACCUGCCUGGUAGCGGGGGAUAACUAUUGGAAACGAUAGCUAAUACCGCAUAAUAUUAAUUAUUGCAUGAUAAUUAAUUGAAAGGUGCAAUUGCACCACUACCAGAUGGACCUGCGUUGUAUUAGCUAGUAGGUGAGGUAACGGCUCACCUAGGCGACGAUACAUAGCCGACCUGAGAGGGUGAUCGGCCACACUGGGACUGAGACACGGCCCAGACUCCUACGGGAGGCAGCAGUAGGGAAUCUUCGGCAAUGGACGAAAGUCUGACCGAGCAACGCCGCGUGAGGGAAGAAGGUUUUCGGAUCGUAAAGCUCUGUUGUAAGAGAAGAACGGGUGUGAGAGUGGAAAGUUCACACUGUGACGGUAUCUUACCAGAAAGGGACGGCUAACUACGUG